rnacentral:rRNA from 1 species
AGUGAACGCUGGCGGUAGGCCUAACACAUGCAAGUCGAACGGCAGCACAGUAAGAGCUUGCUCUUACGGGUGGCGAGUGGCGGACGGGUGAGGAAUACAUCGGAAUCUACUUUUUCGUGGGGGAUAACGUAGGGAAACUUACGCUAAUACCGCAUCCGACCUACGGGUGAAAGCAGGGGAUCUUCGGACCUUGCGCGAUUGAAUGAGCCGAUGUCGGAUUAGCUAGUUGGCGGGGUAAAGGCCCACCAAGGCGACGAUCCGUACCUGGUCUGAGAGGAUGAUCAGCCACACUAGAACCAUGAUACGGUCCAGACUCCUACGGGAGGCAGCAGUGGGGAAUAUUGGACAAUGGGCGCAAGCCUGAUCCAGCCAUACCGCGUGGGUGAAGAAGGCCUUCGGCUUGUAAAGCCCUUUUGUUGGGAAAGAAAAGCAGCAGGUUAAUACCCCGCUGUUCUGACGGUACCCAAAGAAUAAGCACCGGCUAACUUCGUG